rnacentral:rRNA from 1 species
UACGAAGGGUGCAAGCGUUACUCGGAAUUACUGGGCGUAAAGCGUGCGUAGGUGGUUUGUUAAGUCCGAUGUGAAAGCCCUGGGCUCAACCUGGGAAUGGCAUUGGAUACUGGCAGGCUAGAGUGCGGUAGAGGGCAGUGGAAUUCCCGGUGUAGCAGUGAGAUGCGUAGAGAUCGGGAGGAACAUCUGUGGCGAAGGCGACUGCCUGGACCAGCACUGACACUGAGGCACGAAAGCGUGGGUAGCAAACAGG